UACGUAGGGUGCAAGCAUUAUCCGGAGUGACUGGGCGUAAAGAGUUGCGUAGGUGGUUUGUUAAGUGAAUAGUGAAAUCUGGCGGCUCAACCGUACAGACUAUUAUUCAAACUGGCAGACUCGAGAAUGGUAGAGGUAACUGGAAUUUCUUGUGUAGGAGUGAAAUCCGUAGAUAUAAGAAGGAACACCAAUGGCGUAGGCAGGUUACUGGACCAUUUCUGACACUGAGGCACGAAAGCGUGGGGAGCGAACGGG
rnacentral:rRNA from 1 species